rnacentral:tRNA from 1 species
GGGCUGGGGCUCAGUGGCAGGGCGCUUGCCUAACACGUGUGAGGCACUGGGUUCGAUUCUCAGCACCUCA